AGAGUGCCCAAGCUGGAAAGAGGGGAGAGAGCAGGAGACACUGAAUCUGAGGCAGGCUUCAGGCUCUGAGCUGUCAGGACACAGCCUGACGCGGGGCUCAAACUGAGGGACUGCAAGAUCAUGACCUGAGUGGAAGUCGGACGCUUAACUGACUAAGUCACCCAAGUGACCCAGGAAUGAUAGUUUAUUGGCAAAGAAGGAGAAAUUAAAGAUAACGUAAAGGAUGUCGACUUUUAAUUGAAAUAUUCUUCACACAUUUGUUGUAUUAGUUUUAGGCAUACAUUGUAGUCAUUCCAUAUGUCUAUAAAUUAUGUUGUACUUAAGCACAAAUGUAACUAUCAUGUGAAAGCAUGCAACAGUAUUAUUACAGGAUUGACUCUAUUCCAUUGGCUGUACCUUGUAUCCCUAGGACUCAUUCAUUCCAUAGCUGGAAGCCGGUCUCUCUCUCUCAAAGUUGUCAAUUCUUUAUCUAACCUAUAUACUUUGGUGGUAAACACAAUUACCUCUUGUUCAGCAUGUGUAAAUUGGCGGCCUAUUUUUCUUUGAACAUUGCUUAAAGCAUGACAAAUGAUGUCAUUACGUUAAUAAAUUCGGUUUAAUUCUUCACUCACAAGAAAGGAGAAGGAAAAGAUUUCUUUGUGUCCCAGGCCCUGUCACUAAGACCCUUCCCAAUGUGGAGAACAGGCUGAGUUGCCCAGAGCACCUUUGGUCCCUCAGCUGAGCGGCCAGGGCCUUCAACAUUGCAGGAAUUCCCAUGGUGGCCAGCAGAGAGAGCUUGAGCACCACAGACCUGGAGGGGCGGGUUCCUCUGCCUGGGCAGUGAUGGCCAGCAGAGGGCGCACCAUCGGCUUUUCUGACCCAGGGCAUCUCAGAGCCCGAAGGGCUUCUGUUGCUUCCAGAGGACUCAGGGCCUCUGCUCCUGUCUGAGUAUAGAGAGCAGAGCUGCGUUUCCAGUGGGUUCUGCCACCUGCCCCAGGGGAGACCUUGGGAGCUUUGCAGCAACUUGGCAUCUCCUGAGUCGCCAGAGAGAAGCUGCCACGUUGUACUGAGUGCUAAGGAGGGGGCGCUGGGUGGCUUCCCUGGGCAAGCUGGUUGCUGAGCUGCACAGGCCCUUGCAUUUUCUGGGCUGUUCCCGUGUUUUAUUCCUCCCCUUCCCGGACAGUAUUUGAACGAGACGUAUUUUACUAAAGGACUCGUGGAUUGCGGGGUCCUACAACAUCACCUCAUCGAUGCAGUUGAUGGUUUGUUCCAGAUUCAGGCUUGUUUCCGGGAAGAAACCCUGACAGAAAUUCAAAAGAACGGGAGCUGCAUUCAGUUAGGACGUGAAUACAUGAAAUGCUUGUCUCAGGACCUCCUAGAAGAAUGAGCUGGGACCCACUUUCCGAGUCCUGCGGGAACCAGAGACUGAGUCUAUGCAAAUCAGAAUCAACCUCCAUCCACGUCCAUCCUUUAUGAGACCUAAGACGUGAUGCAGCUCCCAUGGGCAAUAUCAGUGGUGUCUCUACCAAGGAUGCAGAGAAAGACAAGAUUCAGGCUUGUUUCCGGGAAGAAACCCUGACAGAAAUUCAGAAGAACGGGAGCUGCAUUCCAUUAGGACUUGAAUACACGAAAUGUUCGUCUCAGGACCUUCUAGAAGAAUGAGCUGGGACCCACUUUCCGAGUCCUGCUGGAACCAGAGACCGAGAUAUUGCCCAGGUGUCUGAAGGCCUGCACUAGGGUACCUACCUCCUUUUCGGAUAGACUGUAUUCCCGUAAGUAUUGCAGUCAUUCUACCUUUGGACUUUAUCCUGUGUUGUAUCUUUCAGUCUAUUCACUUAAUUUUGUUGCAGUACUUUAAUGCUGAGGGAUGCAUAAUUGGAUUGAUUUUCACUAAAUGGUAUGAGCUGCAGUUCCAAUCAUGACAGAAAGCACGUGCUUCCUGUGUUAGGUACUCAAGAGUAAGGCAGAUACCCUGGGCACUUGAGCUGAGUAUGUCACUCUUUUUGCCAGCCCUCUUCCCUCCCCUGGGAGACAAGGGUCUCGUUUUGGUCACACAGAAAUGUAGGUGAAGUCAGCAGAGAAGGGUCCCUUCUCUUCUCUUCCGUUUGUCUCUCAAACUCCCUGUCACUACCUUCUGCCUGUCCCUUUCCCUGACUCAAUCCCCCAGGCCCACUGCUCCACUCUAGCCAUGAUCAGGGUGUCCUCCAGCUGCUGGCCUCUGCUCUGGCCAUCGCUCAGUGAGGAAACUACAGGAGGAUUAUGUAGUUCAUGGGUCUGAUCAAGAAAUCUCUGCUCCUCAGAGUCCUCCUACACGCGGUGCUGUCUGUGGAUACCUGGCAUCCUGGGUUAGGGUCUGACCCUCACUCCUCUCUUCAGUCACUGCUGGUCCCUCAUCCUUCUCUACCAUUAGAACUCAGCCAUUUCCUAAGGACAGAUACCUGUCUGACCCCAAGGCACCACGGAGUCAGGGAAUAUUUCCAAAAUAAUUGAGCAUAAGCACCCCAUCAAUGUAGAUAUAGGAAGUUCCCAUCACCCCGGAAAACUCCCUCAGACUCCCCGGCAGAAAGGGUGAUCUUGCUUCUAUCCUCCAUCACCACCAUUUCUGGCACUUUGUUACCUCUGUGUACAGGAACCCCACUGUGUGCACUCAAUGGGGAGUGAGAGUAGAUGGACCUAGAAGCAGACGCUGACACAGAGACAAAAUGAUGAAAGGUAGAUUAGGGGACAGUAGGAAGGACAAAGUGGAGGGGACAGGAUGGGCAGGGAAAGAAUUCAGGUAGAUCUGACACCUUCUUAAAAUGUAUAUAUAUUCACCAUAGUCUGUCACCGUGCACAGUCCUGUUCAAAUUUCAAAAGAGUUGUCCUAUAAGGCAAAGAGAUUUUGGUUUAUUUCCCUCUGAUCUUAUGUUUUCCUACAUGCAUUCUGUCUUCUGUAGUUUAUCUGCGGCUGUGGCCUCAGAUGAACACUUUAGUGUGUGGCUGCAUCUGUGAGAUUAUGUGUAAUAGAAAAUGAUUGUCUUCAGAUCUAGGUCUCUGAAUGUACACAUUCUCAUAAUUAUCUUUUCUUUCAUUGUGUGGCAGGGCCUGAAUUCUAAUAGAAAAAUGAGGGACAUUGUCUUCUUUUUUAAAACAGUGAUUCCCACCCUGGGCUGAGUUGUUAACAGUCUUAGUUUAAUGAACUCCCAUGACCAUCUUUUUUGGAGGAUCAUUGUGUGGAGAUAUCUUAAUUGAAACUGUGAGAAUCGUGAGGGGACACUUCCCAGAGAUUUUGCAGACGCUUUAUGCACUGAAUGUCUUCUUUUUCUCUUGUUCUUAGAAACAAAUAUUACCCCUGUUUUCCCAGAUAACACAGCUGAGGCUCUGUGUAGGUCCCACUGAGAACUGGUAUUAGGGCUGAGACAGCAGGAACACAGGCAAAGCGUCAUAAUAUUGUGAGAGAAGUUUGAGGAGAUGCAAAGCUGUAGUCAGGGUGAUGACAGGGGUCCAGCAGUGGUGGCAUCUGGCCAGCCCUGAAUUGUAGGAUGACUCAGCUGAUCUAGACCCUGUCUCCACUUUUAGUCUCACUGAGGGAUAUGAACUUGGGCAUACAGCAUUUUCAUAAGACCAAGUUAAAUUCCCCAUAUCUCCAGGGCUCUUUUCCCCCCACAAAUAUCCAGAACCUUCAGGAAAAUCCAGGGAGACAAGGAUCUUUUUAGGUGAUUACCUGCGUGCACUUUGGCAACACACAUUUUGGAGAUGAACGCUGCAUUGUGCACUGAGAGCGAUCCCACAUAGCAGCUCCGUAUGGACCUCACACUCCCUGCUUAGGCCGUGGCCAGGAAUGACCUCCAGCUGCAUCUCACUGACCCCAACACCCUCCCCUCUGCACCACCUCAAACUCUGCUUACUGUGCUCAACUUCCCUUUUAUUCCUGUAUGAUUCAAGGCUCCCCUGGUUUUGCACUGGAUCCUUCACUGGUGUUUCCAUUUUGGUGAUCACAUGGUCUGCAUCGUUUAAUGAAUGUCCCUCUUUCACACAGGACACCUGAUGCUCUAAAAGUUAGGGGUGCACCUCAUUCAUUACAGAACCCAAAACAUUGUGUCUCCAUCAUAUGCACCAGUACCGCUGAUACAUCUGCUUUUGUGUAAAAAAUCCUCUUUCAUUUGACAAGAGAAACGUAUAGCUCACUGUAUUACAGGGACAUGACACUGCCCAUUGUAUGUAUGUCCUGAGAAACUUGAGACAUGCUACAGUGUUCUCAGUUUGUAGUUGGAUUGCCAAGACUCACAACCGUCUCUACAUCAUUGCCACAAAGUCAAUCAUGAAGAACAUGAAUAUACUUUACCAGCCACUCAUCCAGUUCAGGUCAUCUUAACAAAUAGAGUAGGUGGAGGAGGGGGAUGUGGCCUCUAGCCCAUGACUGGUGGUGAAGGGUGGUCCAUGGGGUACAGCCUGCAAGGCAAUCCUGGGAAAGGACCAGGACUCUUGCAUACAAAAUAGCCUGUGGAAAAGAGAGGUAUGUUCAUAGGACAGAACAGAGCACCAACACCAGCAAAAAGCAGAAACCCAAAGAAGCAGUGCUCAUAUCCUACUAGUUUCCCCACCACCAGGUUCCAAGAGGGCAGCAUCAGCGCCAAAAUCUCUACCCAUACUUUGGGUUCCACUUACAGCUUUGAGGUGAGGAAUGGAUGUGAUUGGGAUAAACACGUGUCCCCACGUGUCUGGAAAUGUAGAAAUAGCAAGGGCCCUUUUCCUAGAAGAUUUAUAGGCUGAAUACUAAAUUAACAAAGUAGCAUAUUCCAGAUAGGAAGGCAACUAUGUCCAGGGUCACACUCCACCCUUCAUCCCCUCCACCACAGAGGCUGUUUAUUGUGUCUGUGAAGAAUUACAGAAUGAGAAGGAAUGACAAAGCCAGUGUCCACACAUGGAAUCAUAGCCCUCGUGGCUCAAAGUUCUGCCUCUAAGCCCCUGCCUGUGUCCAAACUACUGUCCUGACAAUGGGGUCUCCUCCUCUCUGGAAGUGCUAUCCAUGGGCACAGAGACAUAUGGGGAGAUGGGAAUCCUGAGGGCCUGUAGAGGACCUGGGAAAGCAUGCUCUUAGAGAAACAGGUAGCCUAUACAUGUUAGUUGGGCUCAGCUAAUUUAUUUUACUUCGGAGGUACUUCUCAGCUUAAGUGCAGUACACUUUGCAGGGUAAGUGUGUCCUCUGGAAAAAUGAGCUGAAAUUCUAAAAGACAAAAUUAACACAAAUGCACUUUGAUGUCUGGUGUAAGUUUCCAUGUUUUAGCUGUACCUGUGACACAGGACACGAGAGAACGUGCUCAUGUGAACACAAGUGAAGGACACCGUGGGGACUUGCCACACAGGUAAUUUUGGAUUUUUUCUCUUCACAACUUAAGUUUCAGUGCAUGUUUUCUAUCACAAAUAUGCCACCUCUUAUAGUUCAGAGUGUUUGUGCCCAGGGCACACCUGAAGGGAUUCUGGACAGCAUGUUUACCAAAAUGCUGAUGGGUAUGAAAUUUACUUUGUCUAAGACCAUUCUAAAGGACACAUACAAAAAUAUAAGUUGGAGUGAAGGCAGUUCGCAUUUUCAAAUUGUAAGGAUACCCACAGAUUUUUCUAAGCACGUUAAAACCCUCAAUAGAAGGAAACAGGAGAGGAAGAAACAGCAAGAGCAAUGAUUCCACAUGGAGGAGAUCCACAAAGAAUGAGGCAAGGUAGGAGACUUCCAAGUGGAGUGUGGUGUCAUCCUCCUUGAUUUCUUCCAGGAACACAUUAGAAAAGCCCUAUGGUCCCCACCUUUAGGCACGCUUAGCUGCUCAAGUGACCACAAACAGAUGCCAGCUGGGAAACAGGGAAGCCCGUAGACUCGGCGGUAAAGGUUUUGCAUUUGGGGGAAAAAAAAAACACAACAAAAACAGCAGACAUACCAUACGACACACAAACCAGAGAUAAUGGCAGGAGAGUGUCCUGUACAGAAAGAUGUGGCUGUCCGUAAAGACUUAGAACUGAAAAUGGCCACAGCAUUUACUUUGUGCUUCUUGGCAGUUUUGGCAGAGCCAGUGUCGAUGUCACUCUUGGUUGUGACACCUACUUCUGGACCUGCAAAAAGCCCUAGAAGGGAUGGAGGUUUAUUCUGACUUAAGUAGACUGUUUGAAGGUCAAAAACAAAACAAAAAACCCUCCCCUCAUACUUCUGACAACUUAAACUCUUUGCCCCAGUGAGAUCCCAAAUUACAUGCACAGUGUGUCCCACAUGCCUCCGGUGAUACCCAAGAAGAACUUGAAGAACCAUCCCUUAUAACUUGAUGAAGACUCCUAAAAGCCCUGACUCAGAUGUAUUCAUCACUCAUCAAACAACUAUGGAUGGCUGGGGGCACAACUAGAUGGACAUACGUUACAUUGUGCCCCAUGCCUCACAGAUCCCAGCAAGUGGACUGUGUACAGGGCAUUUCUGCUGAAGUGCUAUGUCUGAUUUUCUGCCUACAGCCCCAUUCCUUUUCCACAAGAGACGCCUGUACCAACCCAUGGUGGGGGAAAGGACAAAGAUGAGAUCCUGAGAAACUUGAGGAAUAUGGUAAUGGCAGCAGACACAUUCCUCUUGCAUCACAAUGGUCUGUGGUACCGCCUCUGCACCUUGGCCCAAGACCUAACAGCAACAAAAUAAGGUUCAUCUCCUAGCCAGAAUCAAGAAAGGAAGACACAGCAGCCACACUGUUCCCACAGAGGUGAGGUCUGGAAGGGAUCACCCAGGCCGGGAGACCUCUGUUUGGAGUGUGCAGUCAUCCUCCUCUCAUUAUUUCCUGAAACUCACGGAAAAACCUUAAGGUACUCAGUCUCUAAGCACUUUUGGCUUCUAAACUUACCACAGAAAGCUGACAGACUAAAAAUUGAGAAGCCUGUGGGCUCCUGGGUUAUGAGUGUGCAUUUGGAAAAGAAAGAACAAACAGACAUAUCACACAACACGCAAAACGAGACAAGGCCGGGAGAGCGUGCUGUACAUAAAGAUGAGGGUUUCCCAAAAGAGUUACAACUGAGAAUGGCCCUGGCAUUUACCUUGUCUGCAUUCUUGGUACAGUCAGAACCACUGUAACCCACAGAGGUUUCAGCAGUUUCUCCAUCUACUAAAGACCCUAGAAGGGACAGAGGUUUAUUCUGCUUUUAGAGGACUGUGCAGAAUGAAAACAAUCCCUCAACUCAUUACUCAAAUAUCUUCAACUUUUCUCUACAGUCAGGUCCCUGGCCAGAGGCAGAGGGUAUCCCAAAUGCCUCAGGUGACCCCCUAGGAUAAGGGGGAGAACUGUCCCCUCACCUUGAUAAAGACCUCACGGUGCCCUAGUUCAUGUUGUUUCAUAAUUAGUCACAUAACUGGACAGGUCAGGCACAACUAGCAAUUUAGAAUUCACCAGUAAAACAGUUUUCUCAGUAUACAUCAUGGGAAAUCACGAUUCCAUUACAGAUCAAGAAUUAAUCUGAGGAUGCUUGGAUUCGGCAUCCGACUCUUAACUUUGGCUCAGGUCACGAUCUCACAGCUUGUGAAUUCAAGCCCAGCGUUGGGUUCCUCACUGAUGGUGUGGCGCCUGCUUGGCAUUCUGUCUAUGCGUCUCUCAAAAUAAAUAAACUUAACAAAAAAGAAUAACAUUGAGAAUACUGGUUUGGUGUAUAUCCUCAAUGAGUCCUCAAGAAGGGUGCAUUUCUUCAGGCUUCAGGCAAAUUAUUCAAUCUCCCAGCUUAUCUACAAGCUGCCUUACACAUGAGAGCAGUUAGUAUAUAAGGAAAGACUAAUUUGAGAAAAGGAAAACUGCGAGAAGUUAGCAGUGAAGCUGCAGAGUUGCACCGAUACCAUCAGAGGACUAAGCUAAGCUUUAUGGAACUUGAAUUGAGGGAUGUAUGGCUACAGUUCCCAAAACAAACAAAAAGAAAGACUGUUAAAACUAGUGAAUAAAUGACCUUCUCCUCAAAUAAACUAAAGUCUUCACAUUGUGUCCGGGUGGGAAGAAGGUUUCCAGGCUCUUCAGACAGGGGGAUGCUAGAAGAGGUGGGAGGGUCACCGUCAGAAGAGGGGCAUGAGCUCCACCAGUCACAGGGACAAGUGCCUCACUGUCUGUGGCACCAGAGGAGAACACCCUUCUGUUACCCCUUCAGACCACCUGCCGUCCUUAGUGCGUGUGAUUCUUUCCAGACCACACGAUGAUCACACACAGGAAUAGGCUGCACAGCAGAAAUUAGACUGCGGCACAUCACAACGUGCUCCUUACCUCUCCUUGGAGGGUUCUUGCAGUGAUUGGUUUCUGCCUCGUGUAUCCCUCAGGCAGCCUCUUUGCUUCCAUCCCUUCCAGUCUUGGAUACAGAAAAAUAAUGGACUUCUAUAAGAGUUGCAACACCACAUCGUCUACUAGACAACAAACAGUGCAGGCGUCAUCCCUGGAAACACCCAUAAAAAGGCAAGUCAAAUGACCACACCUGUAUUUCAAGGUUGCAAAGACGAGGGCCAUGAAAUGGCACUACCACGUUGAUGGGUAUGAUUCAUUGUGCAACACACUGCUUUCCUACAGAUUAUGACAAUUGACACCACCCCCAAGGAAUGUUAGCAUGGACAAAGUUUCCACACAGUCUGGCCACUACUUGAGAUCUGCAAAUGUUUAGAAAUUAAUUGUUUUAUUCUUUCUAAACUUACCUUUUUUAUCUGUUAAUACUCUAUGCAUAUGUUGACUUUAAACAUUACAAAAAGAUUAAAAACCAAAAAAUGAACAGCGGUUUCACGAGCUGCUGGUAAUUACUAGCUGAACUCACUUUUACUUGUUUAUUUCUUCUGUAGCUAUUUUCUUUUUUUUCCUAAUGUUUAUUUAUUUUUGAGACAGAGAGAGAGUGAGCACAUGCAUGAGCAGGGGAGGGACAGAAAGAGAUGUAACAGAACCUGAAACAGGCUCCAGGCUCUGACCUGUCAGCACAGAGCCUGACACAGGGC